UUCGUCUUCUUCUCUCUAUUUUUUUUUCUCAUGGAUUUUCUCAAUUCAUCUCCCAACAGAAAUCUUUUGUAUAAAAUAGUACUCUUUGUUGAUUACGUUCAACAAUAAUUUCGAUUUAUUUCAUGUGAUUCCUGAAAUCGAAAUUCGAUUGGUUUCAUUUUAUCCCCCUUCUAAGGCAACUUCAAUUGAAUUAAAUUUUUUAUCUCCAUCCAAAUCGAGUUUCAGUUAAUCAAUUCGUCACUGAAAUCAUUAGGUUAGUGUUCGAUAUUGCAAAUCUAUCUUAGUAAUGAGGUUCAAAAUCAUUUUCACUGAUAAUUGCUAUCAGUUUUUAUUUUUUUAUUUUAAAUUGUUGAUUCCCUGUUUUACUUUGAAAACUAGGGGUUUGCAGAAUUUGCAUUUCGAAGUACUUUUAAUUGUAAUUAGUUUUGAAUGUGCUCCUGCAACAGCUCUUAGUAAUUCUUAAUGCAUGAUUUUUUAAUUGAUGUUGGUCAACUGGAUAAUCCUCAAUCUGAUCAUGGAAACAGCAAUAGAAGAAGGAGAACCUAAUUGCAGGGAGAAUGUUUCUAUCUUCAAAAUUUUGAUUCGACAAGAAUUUGAUGUGCUUUUAGACUUUAGAGCAUAAACGUUGUGUGCAACUAAGACAUACAAUUAUUAGCUAGAUUGUCGCCCAGGAGGAAAUGGAAUACAAAGGUUCAACAAGAUUCUUACAGUUAUGGAGGUACUGCCACUUUCAACCAAGGUUGAGACGUUAACUCCAUCUUACCGAGUUUCAUCUUAGGUACGCAACAUUGUCGAGUUUCAAUCAGACAGUGGCGGUAAACUUGGGAAGUAGGAAAUAUAAGGUGCUGCAGUUGAACUUGGAGACUGGACGAAGAAAAUUGUAGAAUGCCCGGUGUUCGCCCACGUGCAAUGCACGCGCACUCACUUGUAAAGGUGAGGCAAGAAGAGACAAUGGAAAACUAACAAACAGAAAGCAAACGGCAGACAGUCCGGCCAACUAUGAUGCAAAUGACCGAUAAACAGAUCUUCAAUUUCACGAUUUAUAAAGGGGAUAUCAGUUCUACUAAGUACUGAUACCAUUUCAUCAAUCCAACGGCCAUGAUCGGUGGGAUUUUUUUGUCUUAUAUGAAACGAUACCCGCAGUUAGUAAAACUGUCGUCUCUUUAUAAAUCAUGUUCAAAUGGGAAUACAAUUUGUAAACAAAGACUACAUGGGCAUAACCUACCAAAGUACGGUCCCAUUAAUAAAAGUUUACUCUUAAAAAAAAUAAUAUUAUAAAGGUGCCCAGCUGUCAAUCUUUUAUUCAAACUUUUCCAAGGAUCGUUGAAGUGGGUAUUAGGCGUCUGGCUUUACAUGAUGUCAGGAGGAAGGACAUGAAAGAGUUUAUUAGCGAAUCAAUGCUCUUGGUGUAGUGAUCCAAUGCUCUUGUUGCUAAUCGCUUAAGUUACUACCAUCUUAAAUAAUCAAAACAAAAACGUGAA